rnacentral:tRNA from 13 species
GCCUCCGUGGCGCAAAUCGGCUAGCGCGUUCCGGCUAUUAACCGAAAGGUUGUGGUUCGAGCCCACCGGGGCG